ensembl:lncRNA
GCCGUGCUGAACAGGAGGCUUCCAGGAUGUUCUGAUGGCUGCCAUUUCCCAGCAGAGGUGGACAUUGUUCCCAGGGGCAAGACCUUCAAGCUGUGGACCCCAGCCGAGCUCACAGCCCACAGACCAGACACAAUCAAGUUGGUUGUGUCUCUUGCCAGGGAGAUGAAUGACGUGUCCAGCUGGGAGCCCAGGGCUCACACUUGAAAAACAGAAGUUACACAACAAAGCUUCCUCCGCUAUUAAUACUGAGCAGGUGAACAAGUCAAGAGACACAGAUGGUAUGGAGCCGUCGACAGCAGUGUGUGUCGUCUGUGUCUACACUUCCACAGGAAACAAUUACUAGUAAGUGAGAAAAAGCAAGAUCUUGAGUUGAACAUGAUAAAUGUCAUCCCCAUUUAGGAUUAAAGACGCAAUGAUACAGGGACUUCCCUGGUGGUCUAGUAGCUAAGACUUCUCGCCCCCAAUGCAGGGGCCCAGGUUCAACCCCUGGUGAAGGAACUGAGAUCCUGCGUGCUGCAACUGAGACCAGGCACAG